GGCCUCCCUCUGUGGGGCAAUUGAUCUUGGGGGCCCCCAGAUCAAUCACCCUGCAGAUGGAGGCC
rnacentral:pre_miRNA from 1 species